rnacentral:rRNA from 1 species
GACGAACGCUGGCGGCGUGCUUAACACAUGCAAGUCGAACGGUAAGGCCCCUUCGGGGGUACACGAGUGGCGAACGGGUGAGUAACACGUGAGCAACCUGCCCUUGACACUGGAAUAACAGUUGGAAACAGCUGCUAAUGCCGGAUAUGACCUUCGGUGACAUCACCUGGAGGUGGAAAGUGCUUAGCGGUCAAGGAUGGGCUCGCGGCCUAUCAGCUAGUUGGCGAGGUAACGGCUCACCAAGGCUUCGACGGGUAGCCGGCCUGAGAGGGCGACCGGCCACACUGGGACUGAGAUGCGGCCCAGACUCCUACGGGAGGCAGCAGUGGGGAAUCUUGCACGAUGGGCGCAGGCCUGAUGCAGCAACGCCGCGUGCGGGAUGACGGCCUUCGGGUUGUAAACCGCUUUCAGUUCCGACGAAGCGCAAGUGACGGUAGGAACAGAAGAAGGACCGGCCAACUACGUGCCAGCCGCCGCCGUAAAAC